CCGAGGUGAUUAGCAGCAGGGCUCCACUCUCGCAAAUGAGACUGGCCUUGUGAAAGGGGUCGAGGGAACUAACUUGGCCCUUUCUGCCCUUCUGCCUUAUGCCACAUGAAGACACUGUCCCUUCUGCCAUGUGAAGACGCAGUAAGAAGUUCCUCACCAGACACCAAAUGCUGGUGCCUCGAUUGUGGACUUCCCAGCCUCGGAAACUAACACAAGCUGGGAAGUGAGUAAGGAGAGCAUCUUUUGCAAAGGGGAGAAGACACUGAUUGGAAAGCAUUUAUGCUGCAGCCAUAGCUCAAAAUAUUAAUCUGUGAAUUUACCAAGGCACUGUUAGGUGCUGUAGACACAAAGCUUUGGCCUUGAAUACCUCUCAGUCUAGAAGGAGAUGUGAACAUGCUCCUAGAUUUAUUACAGCCGACUAGGAUCAGUGCUAUUAUGGAGCUAAGAAGAAAGGGUCAAAGCCGGGAGGAAUUAAUUCUGCUUCACUGGGGAGGUGAGGUUUGAGCUAUAUUUUGAAGGAUGAUAAAGAAGAGGCUUGAACAGUGGAAUUAACAAAUGCAAAAAAAAAAAAAAAGAAUUUCUUAAAUUAUCUAGGAAUUGGUUAUAAGUUCAGUAUGGUAGGCGUAGUGUACAAAGGGGAGUUUUGGGAGAUGAAGUCAGAAAGAUAUUUUGAAGACUGAAUUAGUUAUCUAUUGCUGUGGAACAAAUUACCUCAAAACUUAGUGGCUUAAGAACAAUGAAUUAUUUCAUUGUUUUGGUGGGUCAGGAAUUUGAGACCAGCUUAGCUGAGUGUUUUGGUUUGGAAGUUGCAGUUAAGAUACCAGCUGGGGCUGAAGUCACCUUAAGGUGUCAAUGGGGCUGGAGGAUCUGCUUCAAAGGUGACUCACUCACAUGCCUGGCAUGUUUAUUGCUGUUCUGUUGGCAGAAGACUCCAGUUUCUCAUCUCAGGGACCAUUCCAGAGGGCUGCUGAGGAGUCCUCAUGACGUGGCAGCUGGCUUCCCCCAGAGAUCUCACUCUGCUGCCCAGGCUGGAGUACAGUGGCACAAUCUUAGCUCACUGCAGCCUUGACCUUUCAGGCUCAGGUGAUUUUCCUACUUCAGUCUCCAGAGUAGCUGGGACUAUAGGUAUGUGCCAUCACACCUGGUUAAUUAAAAUUUUUUUUUUGUCGAGACAGGGUCUUGCCACAUAUUCCAGGCUGAUCUCGAACUCUUGGGCUCAAGUGAUUCUCCUGUCUUGGCCUCCCAAAGUGCUGGGAUUAUAGGCAUGAGCCCCUGCACCUGGCCUGCUGGCAGCUUUUAAGCCCUCCCACCCUUCCUUCCCAUUCUGCUCCACAUCUGGGCAAGCUGGUAAGAAAGCAUGGGCGCUGCCUUCUUUGGUGCUGAUGGGAAGUUAAAACCACAUAAGCCCCAGCCAAUUCAGGAGAGCCCUCAUCCCGGGCUCAGCUGCCAAUCACAACGGAAGCCAAGCCUAUCUCCUUUCCCUGCCCUCUCAAGCCAGUUUCAGACCUUCUUGGAAGCUGGACCCGCUCUGCCCAGAAAGCCUCAUUUUGUGAGUAAUCAAUCUUUUCAUACUCUUGGUGAGUGCAUGUCAGCCUUAUUGUCGAUACUUAAAGCAGAUUUGGGGUAGGAGGGUCUAUGUUCUUCUGUGGGGCAACCACAACAGUUGGUCCUGUGAGCAGGCUGUCGAAGAGAUGACCACCUCCACCACCAGACGCCUUCCUCCUCUUCCGGCAGCUGAGAGGCACAC
rnacentral:lncRNA from 13 species